GUCCUGUUAGCUCAGUUGGUAAGAGCGCCGUGCUAAUGACGCGGAGGUCAUGAGUUCGAUCCUGUUACGGGCCA
rfam:Daphnia pulex DAPPTscaffold_383_Cont9221, whole genome shotgun sequence.